GGAAGGAUCAAUACGAGUAGAGACAGAUGGUGGAGGGGUGGGGUAAUACCCGCCCUUACCCUAUCACAUAUGCACAGGGCGUCUGCUGGGUUAGUUAUCUUGACUGACUCACAGGGGCCCUGAUGUUUACGCUUGUAAGUUUGACAGAGUCUAGUAUCACUUUUACAAUGACAACUUUUAACAAUGGAUCUCUUGGCUCUUGCAACGAUGAAGAACGCAGUAAAGUGCGAUAUGUAGUGCGAUUUGCAUGAAUCUGUGAGUCAUUUAAUCUUUGAACGCAACUUGCGCCUUUUUGGAGGCAUGUCUGUUUGAGGGCCAUGAACAUUUGUGUGCGUAGCGUGCUACCGCAUGCGUGUUGACGGCAGUCUGAUGCAAGUCUGACUCUGUUUAAAUGUAGCCAGUGACCGCUCCAGCGUCCAGCCCUAGUGCUAAGCAUUCUUGGGCAGGGCGGUGGAGCGGGGGACAAUAUCCUUCCAUCACAGGCCUCAAAUCAGUCAAGACUACCCGCUGAACUUAAGCAUAUCAGUAAGCGGAGGAAAAGAAACUAACAAGGAUUCCCCUAGUAACGGCGAGUGAAGCGGGAAAAGCUCAAAUUUAAAAUCUCGGCACACCCCGUGUCGCGAAUUGUAGUCUAAAGAGAGGACGGUCUAGGUCAAAGAGGUGCUCAAGUCCCUUGAAAUAGGGCGCCAAAGAGGGUGAGAGCCCCGUGACAGCACCUCGUACACCUCAAGUGAUCACCUCUCGACGAGUCGAGUUGUUUGGGAAUGCAGCUCAAAGUGGGUGGUAAAUCUCAUCCAAGGCUAAAUAUUGGCAAGAGACCGAUAGCGAACAAGUACCGUGAGGGAAAGAUGAAAAGCACCUUGAAAAGGGAGUUAAACAGUGCGUGAAAUUGUUAAAAGGGAAACGAUAGAGACCAGAGUUGGAGGGAGCUUUAAGCCGGAGCCUCGGUUCCGGUAGCGAGAACCCUCCGAGUCAAUGCCAGUUGCAGCAGCCGGAUAUAGGCAAGAGAAAGGUGGUGUCGGCUCUCGGGUCGACGCAUUAUAGGCUCUUGACACUUUGCGGCAGCAGCGACCGGAAGGGUGGCUGGGGACUAGCCGAUUACAUUAGUACUCGGCUCGACACCCAGACACGCGUCUUUGACAAAAUGUUCUUUAACGACCCGUCUUGAAACACGGACCAAGGAGUCUAACAAUCUUGCAAGCAUUAGAGUGGCAAACUCAUAUGCGUAAUAAAAGUAAAAGCGUGCGAGCGACGUGGUUCAUCCACCCGUGCAGCACGGACCGGCCCGUCAUCUCUGACAGGACCGAGUAAGAGUAGGAUUGUUGGGACCCGAAAGGCGGUGAACUAUGCCUGACUAGGGCAAAGCCAGAGGAAACUCUGGUGGAGGCUCGUAGCCGUUCUGACGUGCAAAUCGAUGGUAAAAGUUGGGUAUAGGGGCGAAAGACUAAUCGAACCGCCUAGUAGCUGGUUCCUUC
rnacentral:misc_RNA from 1 species